rnacentral:rRNA from 1 species
GACGAACGCUGGCGGCGCGCCUAACACAUGCAAGUCGAACGGAGCUGAGAGAAGCUUGCUUUUCUUAGCUUAGUGGCGAACGGGUGAGUAACGCGUGAGUAACCUGCCCUGGAGUGGGGGACAACAGUUGGAAACGACUGCUAAUACCGCAUAAGCCCACGAUCCGGCAUCGGAUUGAGGGAAAAGGAUUUAUUCGCUUCAGGAUGGACUCGCGUCCAAUUAGCUAGUUGGUGAGGUAACGGCCCACCAAGGCGACGAUUGGUAGCCGGACUGAGAGGUUGAACGGCCACAUUGGGACUGAGACGCGGCCCAGACUCCUACGGGAGGCAGCAGUGGGGGAUAUUGCACAAUGGGGGAAACCCUGAUGCAGCGACGCCGCGUGGAGGAAGAAGGUUUUCGGAUUGUAAACUCCUGUCGUUAGGGACGAUAAUGACGGUACCUAACAAGAAAGCACCGGCUAACUACGUG